rnacentral:rRNA from 1 species
CUACGGGGUGCACCAGUGGGGAAUAUUGCACAAUGGGCGCAAGCCUGAUGCAGCCAUGCCGCGUGUAUGAAGAAGGCCUUCGGGUUGUAAAGUACUUUCAGCGGGGAGGAAGGGAGUAAAGUUAAUACCUUUGCUCAUUGACGUUACCCGCAGAAGAAGCACCGGCUAACUCCGUGCCAGCAGCCGCGGUAAUACGGAGGGUGCAAGCGUUAAUCGGAAUUACUGGGCGUAAAGCGCACGCAGGCGGUUUGUUAAGUCAGAUGUGAAAUCCCCGGGCUCAACCCGGGAACUGCAUCUGAUACUGGCAAGCUGGAGUCUCGUAGAGGGGGGUAGAAUUCCAGGUGUAGGGGUGAAAUGCGUAGAGAUCUGGAGGAAUACCGGUGGCGAAGGCGGCCCCUGGACGAAGACUGACGCUCAGGUGCGAAAGCGUGGGGAGCAAACAGGAUUAGAUACCCCGGUAGUC